rnacentral:rRNA from 1 species
UACGUAGGGCGCAAGCGUUGUCCGGAAUUAUUGGGCGUAAAGAGCUCGUAGGCGGCUUGUCACGUCGGGUGUGAAAGCCCGGGGCUUAACCCCGGUCUGCAUUCGAUACGGGCUAGCUAGGGUGUGGUAGGGGAGAUCGGAAUUCCUGGUGUAGCGGUGAAAUGCGCAGAUAUCAGGAGGAACACCGGUGGCGAAGGCGGAUCUCUGGGCCUUACCUGACGCUGAGGAGCGAAAGCGUGGGGAGCGAACAGG